UACGGAAGGCAGCAGUGGGGAAUAUUGCACAAUGGGCGAAAGCCUGAUGCAGCUAUGCCGCGUGUAUGAAGAAGGCCUUAGGGUUGUAAAGUACUUUCAUCGGGGAGGAAAAAACAAAACUAAUAAUUUUAUUUCUUGACGUUACCCGAAAAAGAAGCACCGGCUAACUCCGUGCCAGCAGCCGCGGUAAUACGGAGGGUGCUAGCGUUAAUCAGAAUUACUGGGCGUAAAGAGCACGUAGGUGGUUUUUUUAAGUCAGAUUGUGAAAUCCCUGGGCUUAACCUAGGAACUGCAUUUUGAAACUGAAAUACUAGAGUAUCGUAGAGGAGGUAGAAUUCUAGGUGUAGCGGUGAAAUGCGUAGAUAUCUGGAGGAAUACCUGUGGCGAAAGCGGCCUCCUAAACGAAUACUGACACUGAGGGUGCGAAAGCGUGGGGAGCGAAACAGGGAUUAGAUACC
rnacentral:rRNA from 1 species